CUCGAGGCCAUUUUGGACAGAGUACAUUUACUAAGCUUAGUAUUGCCGUCCAUUUGAAGAACAAAUAUACAGUUGUCGUGUUCACUAGACAUAGCAACCAUCAAGAGUCAGGCUAAAAAAAGAUUAAGCAUAGUUUUAAGAAUUCACUAGGUGGCACCCAAUGUAAUGGUCUACUCAGCGUUCAAUUGCCAUUUCACACAAACCAUGUCAAGGAUAUGAAAACAGGGUUAUUACAGUCCUAAUGAUACACAAAUUCAAGGUCAAAUAGGGUGCAGUAAUAUUAAGUUCAAACACAGUGCAGUAAUAGAAUUCCUACCUUAGGAAAGUGAUCAGUUGAAUGUUUAUCUUCCUUUGUUUGCAUUACACCAGAGAAGAUGUCUNNNNNNNNNNGAGAGAGAGAGAGAGAGAGAGAGAGAGAGAGAGACUUAUUAACGAGGGUAAAAGCUGCCAGUACAGUGUGGUUCAACCAGAGAAACAACAACAUAUGACAAACUAUGGGAGAUUUUCUAAAAUCUCGAGGCCAUUUUGGACAGAGUACAUUUACUAAGCUUAGUAUUGCCGUCCAUUUGAAGAACAAAUAUACAGUUGUCGUGUUCACUAGACAUAGCAACCAUCAAGAGUCAGGCUAAAAAAAGAUUAAGCAUAGUUUUAAGAAUUCACUAGGUGGCACCCAAUGUAAUGGUCUACUCAGCGUUCAAUUGCCAUUUCACACAAACCAUGUCAAGGAUAUGAAAACAGGGUUAUUACAGUCCUAAUGAUACACAAAUUCAAGGUCAAAUAGGGUGCAGUAAUAUUAAGUUCAAACACAGUGCAGUAAUAGAAUUCCUACCUUAGGAAAGUGAUCAGUUGAAUGUUUAUCUUCCUUUGUUUGCAUUACACCAGAGAAGAUGUCUCAAGAUGUUGUUGUGCGUUUAGUACUAUUGACUCACAUCAGGCAUCAGAAAGUGUUGUCGAUUUCCUCAGUACUUUUUUUUUUUAUCAUGCUAUGUGCUGGGGCUCAUCAGGCUCUCUAUGUGGUUGGCUGCACUGGGCAAUUUUUUUCUCCAUCCCUACACAUUUGCUUUUUUGCUUUGGCAUUCACCUCCGGUGUCAGGCUUAGAGUGUUUCCCAGCAGCCUUUCUGAUAGCAGUCCUCGUCGUGAUUGCUUCCCAGGAUCAGAGCAGCGAACGCCAAGAGCAGGCGGCUCAGCAUACCACACAUGCUGCGAGAUCAAAGGUCAUUCUUGGAAGCCUAGGAUUAUGGGGGAGGUCUCUCCUCUAGCGAGCAGUACCUCAUCAGAGAGUUGGAGUCGGCCCCAGUGGGAUGAGUCUCUGUGGUUAUCAUACACCAUCUAGUGGCUACAGCGGGUUAAAGGAGAUGCAGCAGGCCACUGUGACCCAGCACCUCUCGGUCUUCACGUUGCAGUGUGGAGAGGUGCCUCCAUUCAUGGAAAAGGAAUGAACAGAGCUGGUUGAGGAUGCACUGCCGAGCCCAACAUUACAGCCAGUUGCGGUAUUAUGUUCUGGGUUCCAGUUGUAGCUAAGAAAAAAAUGUGGACGUGGCUGUAGAAAACAAUUGUUUGGGAAAUAUUAUAAAUCACAAUAAUAGUUAUUCACCAUUAAGAUAAAAGUACAGUUAGUCACCUAAACGAUUCACAAUUAUUUAUUUAUUUUACAAAUACAUCAAAUUUCUCAUGCCAUGCAAUACCAUGUGCUAUUGAGAUUAUACUGAAUUCAUUUAGGACUCAAAUACAGACAUGAAAGGCAUAAAUUGUUGCUAUAGACACAGUAAUGAUGUACAUAUAGGCACUCAGUGAGCAUAACUCUCCUAACCCCUCAGCCUGAUCACUGUAAUCCUAAUCUCAACAUGGGUUUACAGAAUUAUAGGUCACCUCGAGUUCAAAGGGGCAAAGGUGAUUGGGAUACUGUAUUAGUUGAGGAGAGGAAUACAAUGAUUCAGUAUAGUUUAAUGGUGUACGCAGAAUGUUGCCUACAGGUUCAAGGGGAAUGGUAUAAACAUGUCAAAUGAAUGUUAUAUUUAUCAUUUCAGAGGUGUUGAGAUAUGAGAUUCAGGUUGUCCAGUCUAGGUUGCUUUGAAGCAUGAUGUGUGAAUUGAAUGUGAUCUCUAAAAAGGAUACAGAGGAAUUGAGAUUUGAGCAGAAUGUGGUUCACAUUACAGAGACACGUUACAGAGAUAUAUAAGAAUGUGUGAAAGCAAUGCACUCGCAAUCCCCUCGUUUCACAAGCCUAUUAUCCAAUUGAAAACUGAUCCUCAGUGAACUCCCAUUGUGUGCCUCUCUCAAAGAAGAAAUGUACAAAAUAGAUCUCAAGUCUCAAAAGUGGAGGCUGUGGAGUUUGAGUUACAGAUGUGACCAUUUAAAAACUAAAAAAUAAAAAAAAUGUUUACUAAGAGUUCUUGCACAGAGACCCUGUGAGCCAGAAAGGCUCCACCUGUUUCAUAACCUUGUUGAGGCUGGAGCACCAUUUUAUCUGACUUCUCUGCCCUGAAUGAAAAUGUCUCAGUGUGACAAUGUCAAACAGGGUAUGCUAAUGAUUCAUCCCUGUACAGUAAGCAUUUCAUGGUAAAAGAGCCCCCACUUGGUGGAUCUCCUAAUGGGUUGUGACUUCGGCUGUCAACGGCUCAGCUACGUGCUCUCUUCCUGUAAUUUCCACCCAUCUUCACUGUUCACCGAUGUGCUUUCAAUAAGACGCGUUUACAAUAGUUUCUGUCAAACCAGGAAGGGGAAAUCUAUGGUGUUUGUAACAGCAGCCUCAUAGAGUUUAUGGAUAAACUUUUAUAGGAGAACCUCUGGCUGAUAACUCAACAAACAUAUUCCCAUUUUAUGUCCCAUUUAUGCCACAUACUGGGAGGAGAAGUAAAAAAGGUGUCACAGGACACCUAAUUUUAUAGCUGAGAAAAAGAAAACUCUGCACUAUUUUUCAAAGGAUUUAUUUUAAUCAGGCCGGAACCUCCAUUCCAUUUGUUCCUCUGACUGGUGAUGCAAUCCCUGCAGUCCAAAGCCCUCCAGUCAUUCAAUUGUUUUAACGUGACUGAAAGCACUUGUGCAAAUAAACAGACAGUUACAGUGGAUAGAAAGGUAUCCCUGUGUCCACGCAUGAACCAACAGUGACUAAUUCCAAGUUGUGCCUUUUAUCUUAUUAAUCCCAUUGCAAUGCAGUUUGCAGGUCUUAGAAAAUACUUAUGAAUUACAUCUAAUAGGCUUCAAAUCAAGUACUAAUUAAAACUGCAUUAACCUUAAUGAAUCUGAAAAAUGGAGACCCCAAUUUAUUGGAGUUGUGUUUAUACAACAGCUGGUUUCAAUAAUACAUGACGCAACCUGCUCUUUGGGAUGAACUCCUCUUCUUAAUGUGAACCUUGUGUGUGUGCGUGUGUGUGUGUGUGUGUGUGUGUGUGUGUGUGUGUGUGUGUGUGUGUGUGCGUGCGUGUGUACGGUGUGUUUGUCCCUCCUCGUUAUUACAAGCCUCGUUAGAGGUUAACUUAGCAACAUUAAGGCAUCUUUAGAAUCAGGAAAACAGACGAAGCAGCAUUGUGCCAAUCAGCGUCACAGGUGUUCAUAAUUGUCUGACUAAUUGCUUCAUUACUUAUUUUAAGGCCUGAGCCCCGUUGAGCACCGUCUGUGGUUCCAUCACAUCUGCAUUUUGUGAAGCCCACUUCAGCUUCCAUGGGAAGUCUCUCCAGAGUUUUAACAUGUAUCUGCUUGUUACCUUGAUUUCCCACGAGGACAUCCUUUAUUUAUUCGCUGAUUCCAACUCAAACGCCUUUAAUGGAAAUU
rnacentral:lncRNA from 13 species